AUGCUUACCUGAAAGUGGAAAUACUAUGAUCAGAGAGGUAGUUUUCCCAGGUAAGGUUUACCCAUUUUACUCAGAAUGUGUCGACCCUUGUGAUUUCCCCAAAUGUGGAAAAUUCAACUGUAUAAUUUGUGGUAGUUGGGGACUACAUUCAUACUCUUCCUUG
rnacentral:snRNA from 1 species